GAUGAACGCUGGCGGCGUGCCUAAUACAUGCAAGUCGAGCGAACGGACGAGAAGCUUGCUUCUCUGAUGUUAGCGGCGGACGGGUGAGUAACACGUGGAUAACCUACCUAUAAGACUGGGAUAACUUCGGGAAACCGUAGCUAAUACCGGAUAAUAUUUUGAACCGCAUGGUUCAAAAGUGAAAGACGGUCUUGCUGUCACUUAUAGAUGGAUCCGCGCUGCAUUAGCUAGUUGGUAAGGUAACGGCUUACCAAGGCAACGAUGCAUAGCCGACCUGAGAGGGUGAUCGGCCACACUGGAACUGAGACACGGCCCAGACUCCUACGGGAGGCAGCAGUAGGGAAUCUUCCGCAAUGGGCGAAAGCCUGACGGAGCAAAGCCGCGUGAGUGAUGAAGGUCUUCGGAUCGUAAAACUCUGUUAUUAGGGAAGAACAUAUGUGUAAGUAACUGUGCACAUCUUGACGGUACCUAAUCAGAAAGCCACGGCUAACUACGUG
rnacentral:rRNA from 1 species